AUUGCAGGCUGCAACCCGCCUGUAUGAAGUUGGAAUCGCUAGUAAUCGCGGAUCAGCAUGCCGCGGUGAAUACGUUCCCGGGCCUUGUACACACCGCCCGUCACACCAUGAGAGUCGGGAACACCCGAAGUCCGUAGUCUAACUUUUACGAGAGGACGCGGCCGAAGGUGGGUUCGAUAAUUGGGGUGAAGUCGUAACAAGGUAAC
rnacentral:rRNA from 1 species